rnacentral:rRNA from 1 species
CCCUUAGAUGUUCUGGGCGGCCCGCGCACUACAUUGGCACUGGCAACAAGAUCCUAGAUCUGGUAUUUCGGGGUAUUCUACCAACUGGUGUCGUGACUGGGAUUAACCCCUGCAAUUAUUGGUUAUGAACGAGGAAUUCCUUGUAAUCACGGUUUAUCAACCCGUGUUGAAUGCGUCCCUGCCCUUUGUACACACCGCCCGUCGCUCCUACCGAUUGAAUGGUCCGGUGAAGCGUUCGGACCGUGGCCUUUGGACGGUUCGCCGUCUGUUGGCUGCGGGAAGUUCGUUAAACCUUAUCAUUUAGAGGAAGGAGAAGUCGUAACA